rnacentral:lncRNA from 1 species
CUCCCAGGGGCAUUUGAUGAUAUUUAGUAAUCCCUUUCAGAAGGGAUGCAUACACCCCUCAGAAAAAAUACACAUCCCUGUGCCACACAGCGACCCUCCCCUCCCUCAUUCUGAUUCUGAAUGGCUGUAUAGCCUUUGGCAGGAGAGGAACUUCUCUGAGCUUCAUUCAAUUUCUUCAUCUAGAAAAUGGAACUCUAACCUGCUUAUUUUACAAGGUGGUAUGAAAGAAUUGAAGGAUAAUGCUUAUUUAAAAAAAAAUCACUAAAAGGAUCCUUAAACAUUUAAUUGUUACUAAUUUCUUCUUAGCAGAGAGGGAAAUAAAAGGCUUUGAUUCCUGUUAAAAAGAUUCUUUAAUUUUGUUUUGUUUUGAGGUGUAAUUUGAAACAGAAUAGUACACAGACCUUGAGUGUAUGAUUUGAAUUUUUACGUAGAAAUACAUCCAGGUACUACCACCCACAUCAACAUACCGGACAUUGGACAUCUGUAUUUUUUUCUGCAGAUGAUUCUGACGGGCAGGCAGGCCUGAGAACCACAGCUUAAGCAGAUGGCCACCCACCCCGGGUCUGACAAGAGCUUUUCCUCCCUCCUCAGAAGGCCCUGUGCAUUCUCACACCCCUCUGCCCAUGCUCUUCCCCAUCAUGAUCUGUUUUACAGAGCCCUUGUCGCUCCCCACCCGUGUGCCCCCAGCAUCUGUACCCUCCUUCUCUGUUGCCCCUGGCACUUUGCACUGCAGAGCGCGUGGGUAGAGCUUGGAGCUAGGAGCUUCUCCAGCACAAAGACUGGAUUUCUCUGGUUCUUCAUAUCCCCAGGGCGAGCACACCAAGCAUGCGUGGAAUAAAUGAACCAGCUCUUGUACACUCCUGUCAUCCUGGCCAUUUGCUUUAUACCACGACAAAUAACCGUGAUGGAAGGGGUUCAGGAACAGGUGCUGGUAGUCUUUUUUCUUUUCUUUUCUUUCUUUUUUUUUUUUUUUGCUGUGGCCCUUGUGGCCAGCCUGGGAGCAGCAGUGGGGCAAGCCCUGGUCACACAUAACUUCUGAGGAUAUCUCUGGGAGUUGUCCUGUCUCUGGACAAGGCCAUUGCUUAUCCCUGCACUCUGGCUCAUUCUGCAGUGUUCCCUGAACACCAAGCACUGAAUUUUCCCAGACUUUGCCACCAGUUUGUACUGAUGUUCUGUCUUGACAGUGUCUUCAGAGGACUCCAACCCUCCCAGAUUCCUAUUUUAUUUUAUUUUUGCUUUUUAGGGCCACACCCGACUCAUAAGGAAGUUCCCAGGCUAGAGGUUGAAUCAGAGCUGUAGCUGCCGGCCUACACCACAGCCAUAGCAACAUAGGAAUCGAGCCACAUCACAGCUUUUGGCAAUGCCAGAUCUUUAACCCACUGAGCGCAGCCAGGGGUCAAAUCCAUGUCCUUAUGGAUACUAGUGGAGUUCGUUACCACUGAGCUACAGUGGGAACCCUCAGGUUCUUCUUUUAAUUUCUGCUUAUACUUGAAGUUCAUAUCAUGGUCACUUACAGCAAGCUUGUCAGGACCACUUUCAUCUCAAGUGAAAGAUGAACUGAGUCUUAAUACCUGCUCUAUUUGAUCUGCCUUGGAAGGAAGUGGAAGAAAUUGUUUCAAAGAUAUUUGGGGAGUUUUUAGUGUGGAUUUUAUUUGUUUACUUUCUUAUGUGUUUUU